rnacentral:rRNA from 1 species
UACAGAGGGGGCAAGCGUUGUUCGGAAUUACUGGGCGUAAAGGGCGCGUAGGCGGCCUUCUAAGUCGAACGUGAAAUCCCUGGGCUCAACCCAGGAACUGCGUCCGAUACUGGAAGGCUUGAAUCCGGGAGAGGGAUGCGGAAUUCCAGGUGUAGCGGUGAAAUGCGUAGAUAUCUGGAGGAACACCGGUGGCGAAGGCGGUCUGCUGGGCGGUGGGAGCGCAAGCUCCUCUUAGCCGACACUGAGGCGCGACAGCGUGGGGAGCAAACAGG